rnacentral:rRNA from 1 species
CAUUAUACAGCGAACUGCGAAUGGCUCAUUAUAUAAGUUAUCGUUUAUUUGAUAGUACCUUACUACUUGGAUAACCGUGGUAAUUCUAGAGCUAAUACAUGCUAAAAAUCCCGACUUCGGAAGGGAUGUAUUUAUUAGAUUAAAAACCAAUGCCCUCUGGGCUCUCUGGUGAUUCAUGAUAACUUCUCGAAUCGCAUGGCCUUGCGCCGGCGAUGGUUCAUUCAAAUUUCUUCCCUAUCAACUUUCGAUGUUUGGGUAGUGGCCAAACAUGGUUGCAACGGGUAACGGAGGGUUAGGGCUCGACCCCGGAGAAGGAGCCUGAGAAACGGCUACUACAUCCAAGGAAGGCAGCAGGCGCGCAAAUUACCCAAUCCCGACACGGGGAGGUAGUGACAAUAAAUACUGAUACAGGGCUCUUUUGGGUCUUGUAAUUGGAAUGAGUACAAUUUAAAUCCCUUAACGAGGAACAAUUGGAGGGCAAGUCUGGUGCCAGCAGCCGCGGUAAUUCCAGCUCCAAUAGCGUAUAUUAAAGUUGUUGUGGUUAAAAAGCUCGUAGUUGAACCUUGGGCCUGGCUGGCCGGUCCGCCUCACCGCGUGUACUGGUCCGGCCGGGCCUUUCCCUCUGUGGAACCCCAUGCCCUUCACUGGGUGUGGCGGGGAAACAGGACUUUUACUUUGAAAAAAUUAGAGUGCUCCAGGCAGGCCUAUGCUCGAAUACAUUAGCAUGGAAUAAUGAAAUAGGACGUGCGGUCUUAUUUUGUUGGUUUCUAGGACCGCCGUAAUGAUUAAUAGGGACAGUCGGGGGCAUCAGUAUUCAAUUGUCAGAGGUGAAAUUCUUGGAUUUAUUGAAGACUAACUACUGCGAAAGCAUUUGCCAAGGAUGUUUUCAUUAAUCAGGAACGAAAGUUAGGGGAUCGAAGACGAUCAGAUACCGUCGUAGUCUUAACCAUAAACUAUGCCGACUAGGGAUCGGACGAUGUUAUUUUUUGACUCGUUCGGCACCUUACGAGAAAUCAAAGUGCGUGGG